AAAAUGACUCUCGGCAACGGAUAUCUAGGCUCUUGCAUCGAUGAAGAACGUAGCGAAAUGCGAUACUUGGUGUGAAUUGCAGAAUCCCGUGAACCAUCGAGUCUUUGAACGCAAGUUGCGCCCGAAGCCAUCAGGUUGAGGGCACGUCUGCCUGGGCGUCACAU
rnacentral:rRNA from 7 species